UUAAACUAAGAAUAUAAGAGGUAGAGCUUUAUAUUCAACAAUUAAUUAAAAAUGAAUAAGUAAUUAAUUAUUUAUAAAUUAGGCUUUUUAGUGGCCAAAUUUUUAAAGUAUUAUAACUAAUAAAAUAAAAAUUUUUUUGUUUUUAUUUCUUUUGAAUUUAGUAGAAUAUUUUUUAUAAUAAAAAUAGAUUAGUAAUAAUGAGAAUAUAAGUAGAUUUUAAAUAUUAUUUUUUUUUUGAAAUAUUUAAUUUAAAAAUAUAUUUUAGUAAAAUAAAUAAAAAAAUUAAAGGAAUUCGGCAAAUUUUUUUCUUGCCUGUUUAACAAAAACAUGUCUGUAUGAAGUUAUAUAAAGUCUGGCCUGCCCGUUGAAGGAAUUUGAAAGGCCGCGGUAUAUUAACUGUGCAAAGGUAGCAUAAUCAUUAGUUUUUUAAUUGAAGGCUUGUAUGAAAGGUCUGACAAAGAAAAAGCUGUCUUUAAAAUUAUUUUUGAAUUUAACUUUUAAGUGAAAAGGCUUAAAUAAAUUUAAGGGACGAUAAGACCCUAUAAAUCUUUAUAUUAUAUUAUUAUUCUGAAUUUUAAUGUUUGUUUAGAUUAUUAGAUAAAAUAAUAAGUAUUUUGUUGGGGUGACGAGAAUAUAAAAAUAACUGUUCUUAAAAGAAACAAAGUUAUUUGUUAAGAAAAAAUUAUAGAUCCUUUUUAAAGAUUAAAAGUUUAAGUUACUUUAGGGAUAACAGCGUUAUUUUUUUUGAGAGUUCUUAUCGAAAAAAAAGUUUGCGACCUCGAUGUUGAAUUAAAAUUUCUUUACGGUGUAGAAGUUGUAGAAGAGAGUCUGUUCGACUUUUGAAAUUUU
rnacentral:rRNA from 1 species